CAGAAUUGGCUGGCAGUGGUGGGAUCUGAAGCAAAUAUCUAUUGGCAUUUAGGAACAAUGAGAAACACAGCCAGAAGAACCUUGAAGGGCGGACAUUCAUCCUUCCUGACAGCUGGCAUAAAGAGCAGGAUGUUUUAAACUCACUGGAUACCACUCUCCCCCAGCAUUGCUGCAGCAGAGAGAUCCUUGGGAAAUCUGACAUAUAGCCAGCAGAAGACACAGAUUUAUACGGACUCAGAUAUGACCAGACAGCUUUAAGGAUUUUAUGGAGCCUAUAAAGCUCCCUUGGAAAUAUCAGCCUGAUAACUAUUGCUUAUGGAGUUCUCAGCAACUUUACCAGGGCAGGUCAGCUUGAAAUGGCAGAUGGUUAUGCUGGAGCCCAGUUGAGCCAGCAGAAGGGUCUUCUAGGAGCCAAGGCCUUCAGACAACAAUUCCCCGUGUGGAAAACCCCAGCUAGGUUCUAUGUGAAUUGCUGAUGGUAUACACAGGGCCUUGUGGCCAGGUCAGAGUACUUCUAGUAUGUUCAGGUGCAACGUUUUCUUGUUUUAUGUAAAUAAAGGCUCUUGCUAGCACGUAUCUAGAAGGCCAAAGAGCCACAAAAAUUGUUGGACAGAAGUCGAGCAUUUAGAGGCUGUUAGACUGUUUGCCACCUCAAGAAGAUAUCAUACAAAAAAUAAUAGCUUCGGAUAAUGGCUGACUUUUUCUAAGAUUUAAUGAAGUUUUUGUAAGUAAUUUAAAUAUAAUUAAGAACAAGUAAAUAAAAGUUUUAGAUAACCUUUUUAAAGAGUCUCCCCAAUUCUUUUUGGUAGUGUAAAAUCUUAAAGUUUUAAGUUAAAUGAUGAGUUAAAUUCAUUAAAUAUCUAGAUCAUUUCCAAAUACGACAAAAUACUAAACCAUUAAUUAUUAAACACUGGAUAGAACUAGGGUGUAGAAAAAUAAUUAUAAAAGGUUUAUUAAAAAGGAAUUAAAAAAUAUAUUUUAUUUAUUUAUUUGACAAAGAGAGAGAUCACAAGUAGGCAGAGAAGUAGGCAGAGAGAGAGGAGGAAGCAGGCUCCCUGCUGAGCAGAGAGCCCUAUGUAGGGCUUGAUCCCAGGACCCUGAGAUCAUGACCUGAUCCGAAGGCAGAGGCUUAAGCCACUGAGCCAUCCAGACAUCCCAAAAAAGGAAUCACUAAAAAGGAAUUUUAAUGUGUAGUCAAACUGCUUAAGAUUAACAUAAAUUUAUUAAAAAAAUAACUUUCAAUAUGAAAAGUUAGCUGGUGCGAGAUUGGAAUUUAGCUUUCUAUUAAAGGGACAACGUUUUCUUGGACUUUUGGUCUUUUUUUUAAGACUGUCAAAGUUCCUUUCUCUUCUAAAUCUUAAAUUUCUUAAUGAUCUGUUAUCUUACUCAUGCGAGUUCUUUAGAAUCUUUUUUGACAUUUUUGGGGCACCUGAAUGGCUCAGUUAAGUAUCUGACUCUUGAUCUCAGGUCAUGAUGUCAGGGCUGUGGAAUCAGCCCUAUGUCCGGCUCUGUGCUCAGCAUGGAGUCUGCUUGUAGAGUCUCUUUCCUUCUGCCCCUCUCCCCACGCUUGCAUGCUCACUCGCUCUCUCUCCAAAAUAAAUAAUUUUUAAAAAUUUUUUUUGAUAUUUUUGACAAACUUUUCCAAAUCAAAUUCUAAAUGAAGUCUUUUUGACCUGGCAUAUUCCAAAGGAUUUGUUGAACCAAUCAGGCUUAUUUGACAUGCAAAUUACAUGGAAAGCAUUGUCAAAUAAAUAAUAUGAAGCCUUCUUUAUACUGUAUUUGUAAAAUUGUGGUACAUGUAGACAAUGUCCAUUCUGCUUCUGCAAAAUUGGCACCUCACUGCCAGACUUUUGCGCUCCUAACGUCCUUGUAACAUGGUGACAGUGUACUCCUAAAUCAGAAAAAUUAAAAUGGGUAAGCAAUGGUUAUAAACUGAAUAAAGAGUCAGGCAUAUGGGGAGGCUUAAGACAGAGGCUUGGUUCUUCCUGGCUCCCUGACAAAUUCCAUCUUCUAUUUUUUGCAUACCUUCACCCAUGGUAGUACAUUUAGAUGACUCAAAUUACAAAUAGGUACUGGCGUGAAGACUCGUGGAAAACUACAAGAACUACCAGCAGGGUCUGACCUGUCUGGUCCACAAUCACUGGAAAAAUUGUUUUUGUUUGUUCUCAGACGCCUCAGAUCUCCUUUUGGACCUUCUGAAUACCAGCAGCCAGACUUCUGUGGCCACUUAGUAUGGGCUAUCAAUGUUCUUGUUCUUGUAUGUGUGUUUUCUGGAUGAGUUAAAGCCUUUCCCUGCUGCAAGGCUCAUACCCUCAAAGUAAAAACAAAACAUAACUUAAAAAAAAUGUAUUUCUCACUUAGGGUAUACUUUCCUCUACCUCCAAUGAUCAAGGCACUCACUUUGUGGACAGACAUCAUAGGCGCCUCAGAAAAAACCUUACAAGCUUCUUGGAAUUCUUUUAGUAUACAACCUUCUGCUGAUUCCCUGUUGUCUUAUGCUGGUAUGACCAAGUUACAGUAAAUCUCUCUGUAAUGUCUUAUGGUCAAGCCUAUCAUCAGCAGGUUUAAGAAGUCUUCCUGGAUCCCAAUUCAAAAGAACAUGUCAGUCACAGUUUAGAACCUAGUGACAGGUUAUCAUAACAGGUAACAUAAGAGAGGAAGAUAGCCUUUGAGUCCUGUGGACAGGGACCAAGUGCUCCUGACUACUGACAAUGCUGCAAAACUAAAAGAUGCUAGAGACUCUAAAUGUAAUUUAUGAGGAAGAUAAGUAUCUGACAUCCUUUCCUUUACACUGGUAUUGGCCAGCAAAAAUAACGCCUUCAUCUGUAUCUCCUAAUACAGUUGCUAAAGGGGUGGUAACCUCUUCAGUUUGGGUUAAGAAAAAAAAAUCUGUGUCCCUAAUUUUUCAUAAGUAAAAUUACAUUUCAUUGGUCAAUUCCCACUCUUGAAUUAAAAAAAGACCUACCACUGGGGAGCCUGGGUGGCUCAUCUGGUUAAGCAUUUUUUUUUUAAUUUUUUAAAAAAUGGAUUUAUUUGCGAUUGGGUUAUGUACAUUGGGGAGGGUAUGUGCUAUGGUAAGUACUGUGAAGUGUGUAAACCUGACGAUUUACAGACCUGUACCCCUGGGGCUAAUAAUACAUUAUAUGUUAAUAAAAGAUUUAAAAGAUUUAAAAAAUGUAUUUAUUUAUUUGUAUUUAUUUAUUUAUUUGUUCACUGGUGGCUCCAGUGAACAGAAGUCCAGGAUCAGAUGGCUUCACAGAUGAAUUCUACCAAAUAUGAGAAGGCGAGUUAAUACUACUCUUCUCAAACUAUUCCAAAAAAUAAAAGAGGAAGGAAAACUUCCAAAUUCAUUCUAUGAGGCCAGCACUACCCUGAUAUUAAAA